UGAAAAAUAAGAAAACAUAACCUUAUUGGAAAUUAUGAUACACUAUUUUUUUAAUUAAUUUAUUAAAGUUAAUUUGUUAACUGCAUAUUUAGUAUGACAGUUCUGUCAAGUUUACUAUGACACCUUUCAAAAAAAAUUGCAUCAAUUCAUCUCCUUGUCGCUAGGAGGCGCCAAAUAUGUAAAACAGUACUACCAGACUUAUUUACCUCCAGGUUAAUUCAAAACUUAAAAGUCUUAAAUUACUGUAAGACAAAUAUAUAAAUGCCUUUUUUGGCUGUUAUAGUUGUGUUAAAAUUAAUUUUUGGACGAUUCUGUUUUUUUAAACGCGACACGGAAAGACUCUUCCUCCUUCCUGAGCAUCCGGAUGGUGUUUAUUUACCAAGAGUAGCAAGAGAUACUGGAAAAGACAAUUACUCCACUGGCAGUGGGCACUGAUCCUGCACAAAACCGAUUCAUUCAGUCUGCCUGUUUGCUGAUUGUGGAUUUAAUGAACCUUUAGUAAAAUUGUGAAUGGAUUACUUGUGCCCCACAGUAUUAUGUUGCCUUUUUUCCAAAGUUUGUUAACCAGAUAUGUGAUAUCUUUUAUAGCCGACAAUUAUUUUAAGUUUUAAAACUUUUAAAAAAUAUUUUACCCCGUUAUUUGCACAUUGACUUUUUACAUUUCUUUCUUUCUUUUUUUUUCUUUACAAGGCUAUCCACACCGACAUAACAAGCAUUUCUUUUUAUGUAGUUUAUAGUAUAUAAUUGAUAUAUUGAUACUCUGUAUAUAUAUAUAUAUGUGAAUUUGCAUAAACAAUUCGCCUUUCUUGAGUGCUGUCCAUUUUUAGCACAAAAUAGAUAUUUUGC
rnacentral:lncRNA from 1 species